rnacentral:rRNA from 1 species
AGUGAACGCUGGCGGUAGGCCUAACACAUGCAAGUCGAACGGCAGCACAGUAAGAGCUUGCUCUUACGGGUGGCGAGUGGCGGACGGGUGAGGAAUACAUCGGAAUCUACUUUUUCGUGGGGGAUAACGUAGGGAAACUUACGCUAAUACCGCAUACGACCUACGGGUGAAAGCAGGGGAUCUUCGGACCUUGCGCGAUUGAAUGAGCCGAUGUCGGAUUAGCUAGUUGGCGGGGUAAAGGCCCACCAAGGCGACGAUCCGUAGCUGGUCUGAGAGGAUGAUCAGCCACACUGGAACUGAGACACGGUCCAGACUCCUACGGGAGGCAGCAGUGGGGAAUAUUGGGCAAUGGGCGCAAGCCUGAUCCAGCCAUACCGCGUGAGUGAAGAAGGCCUUCGGGUUGUAAAGCCCUUUUGUUAGGAAAGAAAAGCAGCAGGUUAAUACACCGAUGUUCUGACGGUACCCAAAGAAUAAGCACCGGCUAACUUCGUG